rnacentral:sRNA from 2 species
GCCAGCCUACCUACCGACCUGCGCGAUAUCCAAUCAAUCUCUAUGAGAAUAAACAUCACCAUCCCGCUUGAAUUAUAUCUUCCAUGAUAUCUGCAAUGAUAUAUAUCGGUGAUAUAUACCGAUGAUAUAUACCGACGAUAUCUAUUGACGAUAUCUAGCGAUGCUCCGUUUUACAAAUGCAAUUUCACAUUGCAGUAAUCUUAUUCGGGGGUUUCAGGGGGUUUUCCCCUUGAAUAUAUAUAUUCUUUAAAUAUCAUCAUCAAAUUCAACUAUUGUAGAUGCAAAUUCAAUCUGUUUUACAAUAUACUUAGAAAAUCCAAGGUGCAUUGCUUCCUAGUAUAUCUAAAACCAGGCCUUUGCUGAGCUUAUUGCUCCGUCUGGCACUCAGCUACAUGUUUCAUGGAGAUCCCGAUAUACAUAUCUAGUGACUAUUUAACAAUGUGUUUGCUCCUAAUAUAUUUUUCGGUUUAAAUAAAGCAGAUGAUGG